GGACAUUUCAACCUCCACGGACUCCGCAUUUCGGUGGAGCUCACGAGUCGUUAGUCAAAUCUACGAAGAGAGCACUCUACAAUUCCCUAGAACAGGAGAAAGGUGCGUUUCGUCAUCCAACGGAAGAUCUUUUACGUACUCUGCUCUACGAAGUAGCCGGUCUAUUGAAUACCCGGCCAUUGACCUACGCCAGCUCAGAUCCUUCCGACUUCCGGCCAUUGACGCCCAAUGAUUUUCUGAAUCGAGCUCCUACCGCUUAUCCACCCGCCGGACUGUAUGAUGAUGCUCAGCCACGAGAUCACUAUCGGUAUCUUCAGCGCUCUCUCGACCUCUUCUGGGAUAUCUGGAAGACCGUCUAUCUGCAAUCCUUGGCUGCGAGAAAGAAGUGGAAAAUUCGUCGCCCAAAUCUGGAAGUCGGAGACGUCGUGUUGGAGAUCAACAAAGGUUUCGGAAGAGGUGUCUGGAGCAUCGGUCAUGUCGUUCAAACGUUUCCGGGUCCCGACGGCUGCGUGAGAGCAGUAGAUGUCCAACUUCCGUCCGGAAUAUUUCGCCGCGGGAUCACAGAACUUUGCUUGCUUGAAACCAGCUCGGCCGUUCCGGCCUCGGGGGAGGAUGUUUCCGCGAAAUCGCAAUAAUUUGUUUUACAUCUGGCAACUACGCAUACGUCUUCCCUGCCUGUCAUUCUUUCCCUUUCAGUUAAUGUCGCCUGCUAUUUUGGCUCAUGUCGUGACAGUCAGUCUUUGAUUUAUUAAGCUCUGUCUAGAGUCUCUUUGAUCGUGAAAUACGAUUUUAUUGUGUGUGUUUCAUCUUUCAUCAAGCCUGAACAGAUUUCAGCCUGUGUUCUUUCCUUUCUUUAAGGCUAAUUGACGUGAUAUCGUCUAUGUACAUGCGGUCCCAGAUACUUGUUUCAUAUAUCCAGUUCAUGUGUGUGUCACCCGAUAAGCUUCCUUGCUUAUAAGGUACCUCACACGUAUACUCUGUACACAUCAACACCUGACCCUGUACAUAUUCCAUCGCUCUCAUUUUAUUCACCACUCAUCGACUUUAAUACAUUGGAUGUUAGAGAGAGAGAGAACGAGCAUCCAUCAAUCACUGGUUCCAACAUUUAGAGGG